rnacentral:rRNA from 1 species
CCUACGGGGGGCAGCAGUGGGGAAUAUUGGACAAUGGGCGAAAGCCUGAUCCAGCCAUGCCGCGUGUGUGAAGAAGGCCUUUUGGUUGUAAAGCACUUUAAGCGGGGAGGAGGGCUCUGUGGUUAAUACCCAUAGAAGUCGGACGUUACCCGCAGAAUAAGCACCGGCUAACUCUGUGCCAGCAGCCGCGGUAAUACAGAGGGUGCGAGCGUUAAUCGGAAUUACUGGGCGUAAAGCGCGCGUAGGCGGCUUGUUAAGUCGGAUGUGAAAUCCCUGGGCUCAACCUAGGCAUUGCAUACGAUACUGGCAAGCUAGAGUAUGGGAGAGGAAGGUAGAAUUCCAGGUGUAGCGGUGAAAUGCGUAGAGAUCUGGAGGAAUACCGAUGGCGAAGGCAGCCUUCUGGCCUAAUACUGACGCUGAGGUGCGAAAGCAUGGGGAGCAAACAGGAUUAGAUACCCGGGUAGUC